UCAAAUUUCCUCACGUCAUCAGCACAAUGGAAUAGAGCCUCCAACUCAUAAACAAAAUUAAAGUUUCAAAACAUUCUCCCUUAUUGGUUUUGGGUCUUUUUUAAGUACAAAAGACAUACCUUUUUACUGAAAGGUGGAGUUGUUGUAACUGUAGGCACAUUCACUCUGAUGAGUGAGACAGGCAAAGCGUAACGUAAUGGAGGUUCUGAUAGCGACUACUGCCUCUCACGUAAUCUACCAAGGUGAAACAUAACCGACCAUGUAAUAAACAGAAGCAUUGUGAC
rnacentral:lncRNA from 1 species